rnacentral:rRNA from 1 species
GACGUAGGGGACAAGCGUUAUCCGGAUUUACUGGGCGUAAAGCGCCCGUAGGCGGCUUUCUAAGUUGGACGUGAAAGCUCCCGGCUUAACUGGGAGAGGCCGUUCAAAACUGGAAAGCUAGAGUGAGGAAGAGGAGAGCAGAAUUCCCGGUGUAGUGGUGGAAUGCGUAGAGAUCGGGAGGAAUGCCAGUGGCGAAAGCGGCUCUCUGGUCCUAAACUGACGCUGAGGGGCGAAAGCGUGGGGAGCGAACGGG